CAGGGAAUCUUGCGCAAUGGGCGAAAGCCUGACGCAGCAACGCCGCGUGGGGGAUGAAGGCCUCGGGUUGUAAACCCUUUCAGGAGGGAAGAAAUUGACGGUACCGGGUGAGGAAGCCCCGGCUAACUCUGUGCCAGCAGCCGCGGUAAUACAGAGGGGGCAAGCGUUGUUCGGAAUUACUGGGCGUAAAGGGCGCGUAGGCGGCCUGCUAAGUCGAACGUGAAAUCCCCGGGCUCAACCCGGGAACUGCGUCCGAUACUGGUUGGCUUGAAUCCGGGAGAGGGAUGCGGAAUUCCAGGUGUAGCGGUGAAAUGCGUAGAUAUCUGGAGGAACACCGGUGGCGAAGGCGGCAUCCUGGACCGACAUUGACGCUGAGGCGCGAAAGCCAGGGGAGCAAACGGGAUUAGAUACCCCGGUAGUCCUGGCCCUAAACGAUGAAUGCUUGGUGUGGCGGGUAUCGAUCCCUGCCGUGCCAAAGCUAACGCAUUAAGCAUUCCGCCUGGGGAGUACGGUCGCAAGGCUG
rnacentral:rRNA from 1 species